AUUGAACGCUGGCGGCAGGCCUAACACAUGCAAGUCGAGCGGAGCGGCGGACGGGAGAGUAAUGCCUAGGAAUCUGCCUGGUAGUGAUGGAUAACGUCCGGAAACGGGCGCUAAUACCGCAUACUAUCAGAUUAGACUAGGUCGGUUUAGCUAGUGGGUGGGGUACAGGCAUACCAAGGCGACGAUCGUUAGCUGGUCUGCGAGGAUGAUCAGUCACACUGGAACUUGGACACGGUCCAGACUCCUACGGGAGGCAGCAGUGGGGAAUAUUGGACAAUGGGCGAAAGCCUGAUCCAGCCAUGCCGCGUGUGUGAAGAAGGUCUUCGGAUUGUAAAGCACUUUAAGUUGGGAGGCGUUACCAACAGAAUAAGCACCGGCUAACUACGUGCCAGCAGCCGCGGUAAUAC
rnacentral:rRNA from 1 species